CUGCCCUCCAAAAAAAAAAAAAAAUCUUAGAAAAAAACCUUUAAAGAGAGCAAGUUUGGUCCCAAGGCAAUGAUGAAAGCCAUUAGUGUAUACCUACCAUCCUCCCUUCCCUCCUCACAACACCUACAUAUAGGUUUCAUUCUGUCUAUACACUAAGCCUAGCCAGAGUUGUCAGGAUAAGAUCCCUGCAAUUAAAAAAAAAAGCCUUCUCCCUUUCAGAUUCAAGGGGAUACCAAGUCCCAUGGUUUAGCAUCAGAGAGGGGAAGAUAAAAUAACCCUAGGAAUCAGCCAUCCCCUCUGGCCUAUCCCCAUUCCCAGGCUCAAGAAGCAGUGACCCU